GGUCCCAUUCCGAACCCGGAAGUUAAGCCUCUCAGCGUCGAUGGUACUGCACGGGGCACCGUGUGGGAGAGUAGAACGCCGCCGGAC
rnacentral:rRNA from 1 species